GCCUAAUGCAUCCCAGGUAUAGCGAGGCUCUCGGGUCGAGCAAUCGACCCGGGAGACCUAGCGCCGAACUCUUGAGUAACACGUGAGCAACCUGCCCCGAAGAUCGGGAUAGCCCGGGGAAACCCGGAUUAAUACCGGAUACCCUCCGCGGACCGCAUGGCCUGCGGAGGAAAGGGUCCACCGCUUCGGGAUGGGCUCGCGGCCUAUCAGCUCGUUGGUGGGGUAACGGCCCACCAAGGCGACGACGGGUAGCUGGCGUGAGAGCGUGGCCAGCCACACUGGGACUGAGACACGGCCCAGACUCCUACGGGAGGCAGCAGCAGGGAAUCUUGCGCAAUGGGCGAAAGCCUGACGCAGCGACGCCGCGUGGGGGAUGAAGGCCUUCGGGUUGUAAACCCCUUUCAGGAGGGACGAAGCGAGAGUGACGGUACCUCCAGAAGAAGCCCCGGCCAACUACGUGCCAGCAGCCGCGGUAAUACGUAGGGGGCGAGCGUUGUCCGGAUUUAUUGGGCGUAAAGAGCUCGUAGGCGGCUCAGCGAGUCGGCCGUGAAAACCCGGGGCUCAACCCCGGGCCGCCGGUCGAUCUGCUGUGGCUAGAGUGCGGUAAAGGGGGGUGGAAUUCCCGGUGUAGCGGUGAAAUGCGCAGAUAUCGGGAGGAACACCGAUGGCGAAGGCAGCCCCCUGGGCCGG
rnacentral:rRNA from 1 species